UGGUCAAGUUAUUAAGGGUGCAGGGCGGAUGCCUUGGCACUAGGAGCCGAUGAAGGACGUGAUAAGCUGCGAUAAGCUUCGGGGAGUUGCACGUAAACUUUGAUCCGAAGAUUUCCGAAUGAGGAAACUCACUUAGAGUAAUGUCUAAGUAUCAUUAAGUGAAUACAUAGCUUAAUGAGGGGAACUCAGGGAACUGAAACAUCUAAGUACCUGAAGGAAGAGAAAGAAAUUCGAUUCCGUAAGUAGCGGCGAGCGAACGCGGAUUAGCCCAAACCAAUAAAGUUUUCUUUGUUGGGGUUGCGGACAUAUCAUAACGAAGAGGUAUCGUAAUUGAAGAGGUUUGGAAAGACCCACCACAGAAGGUAAUAGUCCUGUAUGUUAAACGAGAAGACUUUAGAUAUGAUCCAGAGUACCACGGGACACGUGAAACCCUGUGGGAAGCAGGAGGGACCACCCUCCAAGGCUAAAUACUACCUAGUGACCGAUAGCGUAUAGUACCGUGAGGGAAAGGUGAAAAGAACCCCGGGAGGGGAGUGAAAUAGAACCUGAAACCCUGCACUUACAAGCUGUGGAAGCACAUUUCUUGUGUGACCGCGUACUUUUUGUAGAACGGGCCAACGAGUUACGUUAAGUAGCAAGGUUAAGCACUUAAGGUGCGGAGCCGUAGCGAAAGCGAGUUUUAACUGAGCGUUCAGUUACUUGACGUAGACCCGAAACCGGGCGACCUACCCAUGAGCAGGAUGAAGCGAAAGUAAAAUUUCGUGGAGGUCCGAACCCACGAGCGUUGAAAAGCUCGGGGAUGACUUGUGGGUAGCGGUGAAAUUCCAAUCGAGCCCGGAGAUAGCUGGUUCUCCCCGAAAUAGCUUUAGGGCUAGCCUCAAGGUGAGAGAUACGGAGGUAGAGCACUGAAUGUCCUAGGGGGUAUUGCACCUACCGAAGACUAUCAAACUCCGAAUGCCGUCAUCUUAUACUUGGGAGUCAGACUGUGGGUGAUAAGAUUCAUAGUCGAAAGGGCAACAGCCCAGAUCGUCAGCUAAGGUCCCUAAAUGUAAGUUAAGUGGUAAAGGAUGUGGGAUUGCACAGACAACCAGGAUGUUGGCUUAGAAGCAGCCACUCAUUCAAAGAGUGCGUAAUAGCUCACUGGUCGAGUGAUCCUGCGCCGAAGAUUUCCGGGGCUAAAACUUACUACCGAAGCUACGGCAUCAGUAAUGAUGGGUAGGGGAGCUUCCCAUACGGGUUGAAGCAUGACCGUAAGGACAUGUGGACAGUAUGGGAGUGAGAAUGUUGGCAUGAGUAGCGAGAUGUGGGUGAGAAUCCCACAGGCCGUAAACCCAAGGUUUCCAGGGGAAGGUUCGUCCGCCCUGGGUUAGUCGGGACCUAAGCUGAGGCCGAAAGGCGUAGGUGAUGGACAACAGGUUGAUAUUCCUGUACUACCGAUAACCGUUUGAGAGAAGGGAUGACACAGUAGGAUAAGCUAAGCACACUGUUGGUUAUGUGUGCCCAAGCAUUGAGGCAGUCAAAGUAGGCAAAUCCGCUUUGAUAAUGCUGGGAUGUGAUGGGGAGCGAAAUUUAGUAGCGAAGUAGCUGAUUUCACACUGUCAAGAAAAGUCUCUAUCGAGGUUAAAGGUACCCGUACCGCAAACCGACACAGGUGGGUGAGGAGAGUAUCCUAAGGCCAGCGAGAGAACUGUUGUUAAGGAACUCGGCAAAAUGACCCCGUAACUUAGGGAUAAGGGGUGCCACCAUCAGGUGGCCGCAGAGAAUAGGCCCAAGCGACUGUUUACCAAAAACAUAGGUUUCUGCUAAGUCGCAAGACGAUGUAUAGGAGCUGACGCCUGCCCGGUGCUGGAAGGUUAAGGGGAUCUGUUAGAGCAAUCGAAGCAGUGAACUUAAGCCCCAGUAAACGGCGGCCGUAACUAUAACGGUCCUAAGGUAGCGAAAUUCCUUGUCGGGUAAGUUCCGACCCGCACGAAAGGCGUAACGAUUUGGGCACUGUCUCAACAACAGACUCGGUGAAAUUGUAAUUCCGGUGAAGAUGCCGGAUACCUGCGACAGGACGGAAAGACCCCAUGGAGCUUUACUGUAGCUUGACAUUGGGUCUUGGUACUACAUGUACAGGAUAGGUGGGAGGCUUUGAAACCAGGACGCCAGUUUUGGCGGAGCCAUCCUUGGGAUACCACCCUUGUAGUACUGGGACUCUAACCAUAGGCCAUGAAUCUGGUCUUGGGACACUGUCAGGUGGGCAGUUUGACUGGGGCGGUCGCCUCCCAAAAGGUAACGGAGGCGCUCAAAGGUUCUCUCAGUACGGUCGGAAAUCGUACGUAGAGUGUAAAGGCAAAAGAGAGCUUGAUUGCAAGACAUACAGGUCGAGCAAGGAUGAAAAUCGGACUUAGUGAUCCGGUGGUUCUGCGUGGAAGGGCCAUCGCUCAACGGAUAAAAGCUACCCUGGGGAUAACAGGCUUAUCUCCCCCAAGAGUCCACAUCGACGGGGAGGUUUGGCACCUCGAUGUCGGCUCAUCACAUCCUGGGGCUGUAGUAGGUCCCAAGGGUUGGGCUGUUCGCCCAUUAAAGUGGUACGCGAGCUGGGUUCAGAACGUCGUGAGACAGUUCGGUCCCUAUCCGUCGCAGGCGUAGGAAAUUUGAGAAGACCUGUCCUUAGUACGAGAGGACCGGGAUGGACGUACCUCUGGUGUACCAGUUGUCCUGCCAAGGGCAUGGCUGGGUAGCUAUGUGCGGAAUGGAUAAGCGCUGAAAGCAUCUAAGCGCGAAGCCAACUUCAAGAUAAGAUUUCCCACCGCAAGGGUAAGACCCCAGAAAGACUAUCUGGUUGAUAGGUCGAAGGUGUAAGUGCAGCAAUGUAUUUAGCUUAUCGAUACUAAUAGGUCGAGGACUUGACCAAU
rnacentral:rRNA from 1 species